AUGAGUGGGUUUGGGAUCUGGUAUGGCUGUGUCCCAGGCUGGAUCUCUAAAGUCGGUCCCCCGAAUGCGUGUUCUCCCCCCUCCUCUGCCGCGGCUUGUUUAAGCCCCGACAGGCGGAGCCCACUAAGAGCCGAUGGCCGCACUCAAGGGGCUCACAGUCUGAUGCUGAAGUCAGACGCAAAACAGGCAGGCGGAGAGCAACGGCGAAGGUGCGAAGACGGAGGCUCCCCCGGCUCCCUCUGGGCCAGUCCUCCCCCAGCGCCGAGGAGGCCCUCUGGGCAGGCUUCGUGGAGGAGGCCAGCCUGGCCGGACCGCUGGGCGAAGGCGGCGGGGGUGGCGGUGCUUGGAGUUCCAGGAGGGGCGUGCGAAGAGGGGGCCACACCGGCCCCUGGGCCUGGCCUCUCCCGGCAGGGGACCGGCCCCACGGGCCCGUGCAGACGGGGCUCCCUCCUGGGCCCUCCCUGCGUCCCGGGCCGCCGGCCUCCGGGGUCCAGCCUCCCGCGAGGCCGCCGCGCCGCUCCCACGGCUCCGCGGAGGUCCCGGCCGGCGGGGCUGCUCCCGCGGCGGCGGUGCGCCCAGGUUCCCGCCUCGCCGUGCCCCCUGCCCCGCUGCCGCCCCCGCCGCGAUCCCCCCCCCCCGCUCCCGCCCCCGCCGCGACCCCCCGCCCCCGCUCCCGCCCCCGCCGCGAACCCCCGCCCCUGCUCCUGCCCCGCUCCCGCCCCCGCCGCGACCCCCCGCCCCGCUCCUGCCUCGCUGCCCCCGCCGCCGCGCCCCCUCCCCGCUCCCGCCGCGACUCCCGCCCCCGCCUCCGCCCCGCCCCCGCCCCCGCCGCGCCCCCCUCCCCGCUCCGGCUCCCGCAGCGCCCCCGCCCGGCACCGCCCCCGCCGGCGUCUGCUGGCCGCGCGCCUCCCGCUGAGUCAGCCGGUGAGUCAGCGCCGCCGCGCCGGCCGCCGCGGGAGCGGGAGGGAGAGGAGCGGGAGGGGCCGGGGAGGAAGGGCAACUUCCAAAGCAGGGUUUGCGCCCUGUGGCCUGCAGGCCACAUCCAGCACGACUUACGGUUUUGUUCAGCCCAGGAACUAA
rnacentral:lncRNA from 1 species